UUGAAACACCGGUUCCUGUAAAAAUCACUGAAGUUAAGCAACAUUGAUCCUGGUCAGUACCUAGAUGGGUGACCACUUGGGAAUACCAGGUACUGUAA